rnacentral:rRNA from 1 species
UACGUAGGGUGCAAGCGUUAAUCGGAAUUACUGGGCGUAAAGCGUGCGCAGGCGGUGAUGUAAGACAGGUGUGAAAUCCCCGGGCUUAACCUGGGAACUGCAUUUGUGACUGCAUUGCUGGAGUGCGGCAGAGGGGGAUGGAAUUCCGCGUGUAGCAGUGAAAUGCGUAGAUAUGCGGAGGAACACCGAUGGCGAAGGCAAUCCCCUGGGCCUGCACUGACGCUCAUGCACGAAAGCGUGGGGAGCGAACAGG